GUGCCUUCUUUUUUCCAACCCGGCGAGUUCCGUGUUUCUGCGGGGAGGACAAACGAAGACGGUUGCGAACAGCUGCUGUAGGACCCGGUCCACCCAGAUUAGGUUGCAGUGAUGGGUUUAACCAGGAUUAGUUUGGGGCGUGUUGGUUGGUCUUGAGGUUCUGCGAAGAUCUUGAGCCUUAUUUUAAAAUUACAAAAACCCAACCCCUGUCGUUUCGACAUAAGUUAGAUGGAAGUUUUUAAAGAUCUUGUAGUGUGGCGAACACUUUGGAACUCCUUGCCUGUUGAAGCCAGGCAGGUGCCUUCACUGUACUCUUUUUGGCACCUGCUGCUAAAGACGUUUUUGUUUAGGGGAGCAUACCCAUGCAUCUAGAAUGCUUGUGUGCUUUUAUAUUAUUAGUGGUUUAAUUGUCUUAAUUAUUUGGUUUGGGAAAUGUUUAGGAUUUUUUUAAAUCCAACAAGCCAAAAGUUUGCCCACCUUGGUUCAUAAGAGGAAGAGAAAACAGGUCAGCUGGCAGAAAUAGCUCUUCCUUUUGACUGUUUCUGGCUCCCUGCUGCUGAGCCAAAUCCUUGCUGCUGCACCACCCAAAGAGAAAGGCCAAGCAAACAAAGGGAAGCAGCAGAAACCAUCCCUGGCUGAACGAUCCUAAGGAAGCAAUGGCUGCUGCUGCUGCCCUGAACCUAGAAAGGAGGGGGGUGGAAGUUUGAGGAUGGCAGGGAAGCAGGCAGGCGGGCUCCUGCCUCUUCUCUCUUGCCCAUCCUUGCUGGUGCCUACCUGUCAGUCAUGUGGUAUCAUCACAACAAGCUGAAUAAUGUUCUUGCAGAACUGAAACUGCAGUGGAAUGGAAGCAGUGCCGCAUGCACUGGAUACAGAGCAAUAUGGAAGAUGAUGGAUUAUCACAAGUAGAUGCACAUCCAGCAGCAGAUCUAGGAGAAGUUCCCGUAGUAAAGUGUCCAUGCAAAUGCGACCUUGGUAGAACAUCAAGGGAACAUUGCAGGAAUGUUACAGUGGGGUUGCAGGUGGACAUGAUGUCACAAGUACUAUGACCACCUUGCUGCAUUUAGUAAGUUUCACUAGUUAGGAACAUAGCCUUAUGCUGAGUCAAACCAUUGGUCCAUCUCGCUCAGUAUUGUCUGCCUCAUCCCUGGCCAUUGGCCAUGCUGGCUGGGGCUGAUGGAGUCCAACAAUAUCCGAAGGGCCAGAUGUUAACCUCCUCUGAUCUGCACUUACUGGCAGUAACUGUCCAAAGGUUCAGACAGGGAAUAUUCCCAGUUUUACUUGGAAAUGGUAGGGAAUCUUGGGUUUCUGGCAUACAAACCAGAAGCUCUGUUGCUAAGCUACAACCCUUUCUGCAGUUACUGAAUAGGAACCAUUAAUUUUACAAGUUGAAUUCAACUUUUAAUAAUUUCUUUUUUAAAACAAUAACACCUUAAUGAAAGAUUAGAAGACAAAUACAGCUAGUUAAUGUUGACACUACAUAACUGCAGUGACCCAACACACUUUGUUCCCCCCCCCAAAGAAGGCGUUUAAUAACAUCUACCUGUCUGCUUCAUUAGAACAGCUUUGACACCUUUCAAGGCUCACAGGGAUAUGGCGAUAAUUAUUUAAUUAAAGUGUGCAAAAGCUUGUGAAGAUUUGCCGACAAGAACAUAGCCCAGCAUAAAUGAGAUGUUUUACUACAGCAGACUAUAAAACUAUUCAAGCAUAAAGUUGCUGUACUUAAGUUUCAGAUCAGUGAAGAGAUCAACUUUAUAUAACCCAGUGGGGAAAUUACCUCCAGAGGAUUUUACACCUUCAUUUCCUUCCUCGUUUAAUUGUUUAUGUUGUAUACUAACACGCCAGACAUCACAGAGGAUUUCCAGCAAUGUUCAUAAUGUUCUUUUACACUAAGUAAUGAUCCUGUAUGGCUGGUCUGAGAGUGAAAGAUCCAGAUUAUUUGGGGCAAUGUUACUUAGUGGGACACUUAAGGCUUUUCAAGAUGACCCUAAAGGUGGGUGUAUUGCUGUGAUAACACAGAGUAAUAUACACUGAUGGAGCUAAACUUGGUAGGGUGGUAGGGCAUGUCUGCUUUGUGGCUUUUCAGUACCCAUCUCAUUAUAUAUAAAUAUUUCAAAGUAUAUAGGGGUGAGGAACCUGUCACCAUCCAGAUGUUAUUGGACUCCAACUCCCAUCAGCCCCAGACAAUAUGGCCAGUGGUCAGGGAUGAUGUGAAUUGUAGUACAACAACAUCUAGAAGACCAUAAAUUUCCUAUCCCUCGUAUAGAGGAUUUCACUGGUAGUUGACUCUGUGAUGAACAGAGGCCAAAAUUCUUUCAGAUACACAGACAAUCAACACAUGUGCCCAUGCUACACUGAAUUUCUAUCCCUUAUUUGAAAUGUCUUUGCAUAAUGUUAUUAAUACAGAAUUUCACUGUGGUAGCUGCUGACAGGCAAUAGCUCUGUCUUAAAGGUAAAGGGACCCCUGACCAUUAGGUCCAGUCGUGACCGACUCUGGGGUUGCAGGACUCAUCUCGCUUUAUUGGCCGAGGGAGCCGGCGUACAGCUUCCGGGUCAUGUGGCCAGCAUGACUAAGCUGCUUCUGGCGAACCAAAGCAGCACACAGAAACACCGUUUACCUUCCUGCCGGAGCGGUACCUAUUUAUCUACUUGCACUUUGACGUGCUUUCGAAUUGCUAGGUUGGCAGGAGCAGGGACCGAGCAACGGGAGCUCACCCUGUCGCGGGGAUUCGAACCGCCGACCUUCUGAUCGGCAAGUCCUAGGCUCUGUGGUUUUUGUUUGCUUUUUAAAAUAAUUUUUAUUAACCGGCCAAUCAAAUCAAAUCAAAUCAAAUCACAUAAAUUCCGAAUUACAAAGCCGAAUUUUAAAUUUUGUUGAGGGGACCCAUAUUUCAAGAUCCGAAGGGGGAUUCUGAUCAUCUUCUUGCUACUGCGUUAAUGUCCAAAUCAGUCCAAACAAAGUUCAUAAUUCUAUCCAGUCUUAUCUUGCUCUUUCCACAUCACAUCUUGUUCAUAUAUUUUCUCUUUUUUCUUUAUGAUCUCUUCUGAUAGUCUCCUUAAGCCGAUAAACACCAAUAAUAAUCCUGUGUGAAUUUUUCCGUUCUUCCAAUCCUCAAAUCGAGAUGGUUUCCAUAUAUCAUCGCCUUCAUAGAUAACAUCGCUCUUUCCAUCAUUAAUUACAGAACUGUCAUUCUUAAGUCCCUCUGAGGAGUUUCACCCACAAUAUAAAAACAGCUCUAUUUCUCUAUUUCUCCUCCCAGACUUAAGUCCUCCGACAGAACUUCCCAAUAUGGCGAUGGUAUUUUUAACUGCGUCAUUCCAAAGCCCUUAUACAUUCCACGCUCUUCUUAAAACAUGCUUUGGUUCGAAAGUUUAUCUCCACACAGCCUUAAAUCCACAGCUUAAGUCCUUAAAACGACAUUUCUGACUUGUGAGGGGGGGGAUUCUUGUUUAAUCACAUAAAGGAAAGAAAGGAAAGUUUUUCCCCUCUCCCCCAUCAGUCCCUUUGCCAUACUGAGUCUUGGCGUAUCUUUUCAUGAUUUAUACUUGUUCCUCCGAAUCAUCUUGUUUUAUCAGAGAUCUCUUCUGUUAGCAGUCUUUACUCCCCCUCCUUCCUUGAAAUAUGUGCAUUCGCUUCAUCCAAAUUGUUUCUUUUGAAGUUCUUGCAGCUAGUGGCGCGAAUCAGAGACGGCGUCCAGGAGCGCCGAAAUCCCACAGGAGGGCAUUGUGCCUAGUGCCCCCAUCCCCACAAAUUCGGGGGUGGUAUAGGGCACAGCAGGCAAGGGCAGCCCCCCCCCACAAUCCUGGGGGGGUAGGGAGGCUAUUUACUCCCAUCACAGCCUCCAAAUUACCUCGUGUGGCUCGGAGAGAUGUUAUUGUCAGCCAUCUUCUGAUGCGCCCCAGUGGCCCCUAGGCUCUGUGGUUUAACCCACAGCGCCACCCGCGUCCCUAGCUACUAAUUUGUCUUUUAAUGCUGGUGAAAUGCCAUAUGCUAUGACAAUAGGGGAGUUCAGAUAAACAUUAAAAGAACAUGUGAGGACCUUGUGGACAAGAUAGGCCUGAUGUCAACACACCCAGUGGCUCCAUCCUCACCACCCGCAUGUCCUACAUGUGUGAGAAGAAGCUCUCUGUGUAACCAGUAUAUGCAUGCAGAGAGGCUACACACAUGGCGAUCCAAAUGGGCCCAGGAUUUUACUCCCAGAUUAUCCUUAAUUAACUGCAUGGCUGACAUCUGCAAUCGUGGGAUCCGCUGUUCACCAUGGCGGCAGCACCGGAAGUGAUUCCUAUGAAUAUUUGAACCCCAUAAUGGUGCUAUUACGAUUAGGAUAAAAAUUCCAUCCUUCAGUCUGAAAGUUUUGGUUUAAAAAUUAAUUCACUUUGAGCUAAGUGAAAAAGAAAGAGUACUUUAAAGGAAGGCCUUAUAUCUAAUUAAGUGGUCCUAUUUCAUUUCUGAAAUAGCAAUCAUGAUUUCAUUAGGUGAAGAGUUAACUAUCUCUUAAGCAGUGUGUGUGUUUUAUGCUCAAGAGCAUUUUGGCUUUAGAUAACUGAAAUACUAAGCCAGUCUAUAAAGUGCCGCUGGAAAGCAUUUUAUACCCCUGAAAAUGUGGCUGCAAAGCCAAUUUAAAUUCUCUGGAGUCCGUGGCUGCUCAGUAUACAUGUCACUGUUGUGAAGGGAGCAAUAUAUUAUUCCAGUAGCUGCCAAUUUGGAACACCCUAAGGAGGGUGUAGUAUAUUAUUCUGCUAGCUGUCAGUUGGGAAUACCCCAGAGACAGAGAGGGUCUGCUUCAGAUUGCGAAUGAAGAUACCAUUUUUAAAUGUUCCUUUAUAUUUUUUUAAAAAUGAUACCUUCACCUGCAUUUUGAAGUGGUACAGUCCAUUCUAUUACCCCAGAGUUUUACCACUGAAUUCUGCUGCAUAAACCAGGCUAGAUAAUUGUCCCUUAAUGGUGGUUUCUCUGGACAAUGAUCAAUUUCCUCCUCACCUCCACCUAUCCCUGAACACUAAAACAAAAUUCUUCAACUUCCUAAACUUACUCGCUAAAUGUGUCAAAAAUGUUAUGGUGUCAUGUGACUCAGGGUUUCUCAGGGACUGAGACUGUGGAUACAGAGGAUACCUUCGACUGUGAGGAGGAUUUCCCCUCAGAACCAGUCUUGGUUGUUCCUGUCUCCUCAGGUGUUACAUCACCAGAGGAGCAGGUGAUGCCUGCACUUCUCCAGUCCCAAGAGGUCGCACUGCCUUUCUCAGACUCUAAGGGUGACAGCUCAGAGAUCAUAGAAGAAUCAUGGGCUGCUCUGAGCUGCCAGAGUCAAUGGCUCCCAAACAAGAUUCCAACCACCAGGGGCGAGACUGGCUACUCAGUGGAAGCUGCAGUCCAGUUAAGGCUAAAUCUGACUUUGCUGGUUGUUGGAGCAGCAUGCAAGACCGUCUUGUCAAACUUCCAAUCUAGGUGACGUGGAGCUGUCCAAGGUGCUAACUGCCUUUGCCUUGACCCCUUAUCUGCUUUUGCCUGAUAUUGCUUAUCUGUACUUAACUGCCUUUGCUUUGUCUGACUUUGAAUUGGCAGAUUUCUGCUUGACCUCAGUGAAGGACCCUCAGUGAGAAACAGUGUGAACAUCUCCCAGGGUGAGAAACUGGGAGAGAAAAGGAAAGCUCCCAGGCGAAAGCUCAGAGUGUCUGUCGUUUUCUGUGUGGGGCUGGAAUUAAGAGCUACUUUGGACAGAGAGACAAUUGUGAAUUUGUGCACUAUUUUUGUAUUUUAGAUACCUGGCUGAUGAUGUUCUCCUUCCUUUUCGUUUGUGCUGUUGCUGUUAUGAGUAUCUGUAUUUUAUGUUUUUUAAAAAAAUCUAUAUUCCAUUACGUAUUUUUUACGACAAUUGUAACCAUUUUGAUUUUUAUAUUGUACAGAUAUUAUGUUAUGUAUUGACAUUUGUGUUCUGUGUUUUAAACUACCUUGUGCUCUUUCAUCGAAGGGUGGUAUAUAAAAUACACAUAAUAAGGGCGAUGUGUGUGUAUAAAACAAUACUAAUAAUAUCAACAUCAAUAGCAAAAUAACAAUAAUAUAGUAUAUAUUUGAACUGGCUUCUCCCAUCCUCGCAUGACACCACACCACACUGAUGCUAUGUAUGGGUUGUGCCCAUAAUUAAUCUUAAAUGCAUAAAAACAUUGUGUGAGUUAGCUAAGCUCAUAUUUUUCCAUCUCCACUGUGGUACUAAAUUCGUUCUCUCUCAAAAAAAUUCUCUUCGGCUCUGUACAGGCACCACACAGGUGUCUUAACAUAUUUUUC